rnacentral:rRNA from 1 species
CUACGGGUUGCUGCAGUGAGGAAUAUUGCACAAUGGGGGGAACCCUGAUGCAGCAACGCCGCGUGGAGGAUGACGCAUUUCGGUGUGUAAACUCCUUUUAUAUGUCAAGAAGAUGACGGUAGCAUAUGAAUAAGCACCGGCUAACUCCGUGCCAGCAGCCGCGGUAAUACGGAGGGUGCAAGCGUUACUCGGAAUCACUGGGCGUAAAGGACGCGUAGGCGGGUUGGAAAGUCAGGUGUGAAAUCCUACAGCUUAACUGUAGAACUGCACUUGAAACUUCUAAUCUAGAGUAUGGGAGGGGGAGAUGGAAUUAGUGGUGUAGGGGUAAAAUCCGUAGAUAUCACUAGGAAUACCUAAAGCGAAGGCGAUCUCCUGGAACAUUACUGACGCUAAGGCGUGAAAGCGUGGGGAGCAAACAGGAUUAGAUACCCGGGUAGUC